AUUGAACGCUGGCGGCAGGCCUAACACAUGCAAGUCGAACGGUAACAGGAAGAAGCUUGCUUCUUUGCUGACGAGUGGCGGACGGGUGAGUAAUGUCUGGGAAACUGCCUGAUGGAGGGGGAUAACUACUGGAAACGGUAGCUAAUACCGCAUAACGUCGCAAGACCAAAGAGGGGGACCUCCGGGCCUCUUGCCAUCGGAUGUGCCCAGAUGGGAUUAGCUAGUAGGUGGGGUAACGGCUCACCUAGGCGACGAUCCCUAGCUGGUCUGAGAGGAUGACCAGCCACACUGGAACUGAGACACGGUCCAGACUCCUACGGGAGGCAGCAGUGGGGAAUAUUGCACAAUGGGCGCAAGCCUGAUGCAGCCAUGCCGCGUGUAUGAAGAAGGCCUUCGGGUUGUAAAGUACUUUCAGCGGGGAGGAAGGGAGUAAAGUUAAUACCUUUGCUCAUUGACGUUACCCGCAGAAGAAGCACCGGCUAACUCCGUA
rnacentral:rRNA from 1 species